UACGGAGGGGGCUAGCGUUGUUCGGAAUUACUGGGCGUAAAGGGCGCGUAGGCGGCCUUCUAAGUCAGACGUGAAAUCCCCAGGCUUAACUUGGGAACUGCGUCUGAUACUGGAAGGCUUGAGUGCGGGAGAGGGAUGUGGAAUUCCAGGUGUAGCGGUGAAAUGCGCAGAUAUCAGGAGGAACACCGGUGGCGAAGGCGGAUCUCUGGGCCGUAACUGACGCUGAGGAGCGAAAGCAUGGGGAGCGAACAGG
rnacentral:rRNA from 1 species